rnacentral:rRNA from 1 species
UCCUGGAUUCAGCGGCGGACGGGUGAGUAAUGCCUAGGAAUCUGCCUGGUAGUGGGGGACAACGUUUCGAAAGGAACGCUAAUACCGCAUACGUCCUACGGGAGAAAGCAGGGGACCUUCGGGCCUUGCGCUAUCAGAUGAGCCUAGGUCGGAUUAGCUAGUUGGUGAGGUAAUGGCUCACCAAGGCGACGAUCCGUAACUGGUCUGAGAGGAUGAUCAGUCACACUGGAACUGAGACACGGUCCAGACUCCUACGGGAGGCAGCAGUGGGGAAUAUUGGACAAUGGGCGAAAGCCUGAUCCAGCCAUGCCGCGUGUGUGAAGAAGGUCUUCGGAUUGUAAAGCACUUUAAGUUGGGAGGAAGGGUUGUAGAUUAAUACUCUGCAAUUUUGACGUUACCGACAGAAUAAGCACCGGCUAACUCUGUGCCAGCAGCCGCGGUAAUACAGAGGGUGCAAGCGUUAAUCGGAAUUACUGGGCGUAAAGCGCGCGUAGGUGGUUUGUUAAGUUGGAUGUGAAAUCCCCGGGCUCAACCUGGGAACUGCAUCCAAAACUGGCAAGCUAGAGUAUGGUAGAGGGUGGUGGAAUUUCCUGUGUAGCGGUGAAAUGCGUAGAUAUAGGAAGGAACACCAGUGGCGAAGGCGACCACCU